AUUGAACGCUGGCGGCAGGCUUAACACAUGCAAGUCGAUCGGAGAUGAGGUGCUUGCACCUUAUCUUAGCGGCGGACGGGUGAGUAAUGCUUAGGAAUCUGCCUAUUAGUGGGGGACAACAUUCCGAAAGGAAUGCUAAUACCGCAUACGUCCUACGGGAGAAAGCAGGGGAUCUUCGGACCCUGCGCUAAUAGAUGAGCCUAAGUCGGAUUAGCUAGUUGGUGGGGUAAAGGCCUACCAAGGCGACGAUCUGUAGCGGGUCUGAGAGGUGGAUCCGCCACACUGGGACUGAGACACGGCCCAGACUCCUACGGGAGGCAGCAGUGGGGAAUAUUGGACAAUGGGGGGAACCCUGAUCCAGCCAUGCCGCGUGUGUGAAGAAGGCCUUAUGGUUGUAAAGCACUUUAAGCGAGGAGGAGGCUACUGAGACUAAUACUCUUGGAUAGUGGACGUUACUCGCAGAAUAAGCACCGGCUAACUCUGUGCCAGCCGCCGCCGUAA
rnacentral:rRNA from 1 species